GACGAACGCUGGCGGCGUGCCUAAUACAUGCAAGUCGAGCGCAGGAAGUCAUCCGAACCCUUCGGGGGGACGUUGACGGAAUGAGCGGCGGACGGGUGAGUAACACGUAAAGAACCUGCCCUCAGGUCUGGGAUAACCACGAGAAAUCGGGGCUAAUACCGGAUGGGUCAUCGGACCGCAUGGUCCGAGGAUGAAAGGCGCUCCGGCGUCGCCUGGGGAUGGCUUUGCGGUGCAUUAGCUAGUUGGUGGGGUAAUGGCCCACCAAGGCGACGAUGCAUAGCCGACCUGAGAGGGUGAUCGGCCACACUGGGACUGAGACACGGCCCAGACUCCUACGGGAGGCAGCAGUAGGGAAUCUUCCACAAUGGACGAAAGUCUGAUGGAGCAACGCCGCGUGAACGAUGAAGGCCCUCGGGUCGUAAAGUUCUGUUGUAAGGGAAGAACAAGUGCCGCAGGCAAUGGCGGCACCUUGACGGUACCUUGCGAGAAAGCCACGGCUAACUACGUG
rnacentral:rRNA from 1 species